GAUGAACGCUGGCGGCGUGCCUAAUACAUGCCAGUCGAGCGAACAGACGAGGAGCUUGCUCCUUUGACGUUAGCGGCGGACGGGUGAGUAACACGUAGGUAACCUACCUAUAAGACUGGGAUAACUUCGGGAAACCGGAGCUAAUACCGGAUAAUAUUUCGAACCGCAUGGUUCGAUAGUGAAAGAUGGCUUUGCUAUCACUUAUAGAUGGACCUGCGCCGUAUUAGCUAGUUGGUAAGGUAACGGCUUACCAAGGCAACGAUACGUAGACGACCUGAGAGGGUGAUCGGCCACACUGGAACUGAGACACGGUCCAGACUCCUACGGGAGGCAGCAGUAGGGAAUCUUCCGCAAUGGGCGAAAGCCUGACGGAGCAACGCCGCGUGAGUGAUGAAGGUCUUCGGAUCGUAAAACUCUGUUAUUAGGGAAGAACAAACGUGUAAGUAACUGUGCACGUCUUGACGGUACCUAAUCAGAAAGCCACGGCUAACUACGUG
rnacentral:rRNA from 1 species